rnacentral:rRNA from 1 species
AAGGCGACGAUCCGUAACUGGUCUGAGAGGAUGACCAGCCACACUGGAACUGAGACACGGUCCAGACUCCUACGGGAGGCAGCAGUGGGGAAUAUUGCACAAUGGGCGCAAGCCUGAUGCAGCCAUGCCGCGUGUAUGAAGAAGGCCUUCGGGUUGUAAAGUACUUUCAGCGGGGAGGAAGGUGUUGUGGCUAAUAACCACAGCAAUUGACGUUACCCGCAGAAGAAGCACCGGCUAACUCCGUGCCAGCAGCCGCGGUAAUACAGAGGGUGCAAGCGUUAAUCGGAAUUACU